GACGAACGCUGGCGGCGUGCCUAAUACAUGCAAGUAGAACGCUGAAGAGAGGAGCUUGCUCUUCUUGGAUGAGUUGCGAACGGGUGAGUAACGCGUAGGUAACCUGCCUUGUAGCGGGGGAUAACUAUUGGAAACGAUAGCUAAUACCGCAUAACAAUGGAUGACACAUGUCAUUUAUUUGAAAGGGGCAAUUGCUCCACUAUAAGAUGGACCUGCGUUGUAUUAGCUAGUAGGUGAGGUAAUGGCUCACCUAGGCGACGAUACAUAGCCGACCUGAGAGGGUGAUCGGCCACACUGGGACUGAGACACGGCCCAGACUCCUACGGGAGGCAGCAGUAGGGAAUCUUCGGCAAUGGGGGCAACCCUGACCGAGCAACGCCGCGGGAGUGAAGAAGGUUUUCGGAUCGUAAAGCUCUGUUGUAAGUCAAGAACGGGUGUGAGAGUGGAAAGUUCACACUGUGACAGUAGCUUACCAGAAAGGGACGGCUAACUACGUG
rnacentral:rRNA from 1 species